rnacentral:lncRNA from 10 species
AGAGGGUCCAGAGAAAGGUGGGGAUUCCCUAACCCCUUCUUUCUUGGCACAGACAGGCAGAGAACACCUCUUUUCUCACCCCUGGGCAGCCCCAGGAAGUCAAUCCUUCCACUAUUCCUGCUCCGUGCCUCUCUUCCCUCUGCCCAGAUUCCUGGGAGACUCAAAACCCUGUUCAACUCUCUCUGGGCUAGCUGCUCCCCUCCCCAAGAGGAUUUCUCUCCAGAGCUGGUAUCAUCGCUUAAUGAUGUUCCACCAACAAGGGGAAGGUUUCUUUUCUGGGAGCUGCUAUCACUGAAUACAUAAAGAAAUUGAGCCUAUAUGAUUUCAAUCUUCACCUUCUGAUGCUGAUGAAACAGGAUUCUAUGCAGAGAAAAUCCUCUCCAGUCAAGUAAUUGCAUCCAUUUCAUCUUCCCAGCCCUCCUCUAGAUGGGAGGUGGAGGUGUGUGUACCAAUCUCUUAAUUCAGAAAUGAGACAAGAGGAGGAAAAAGGAGUUCCGGAGGACAGUGGGGACCCCAGCCAGAGCCUGGGGACUUGGCUGCCUUGGAACCAGAACCUGGCCCCUCAGAGGAGUUGCAGAAUUUCGAUAGAGGAGUGGCAGGAGGUGUACUGGCUGAAGAGGAGGCCCAAGGAACUCCUUUUCAUACAUCAAAACUGAGCUUAUCACCUCUACCCUGAAGUCAUCCUGGACAUCACUGGUCCCAGUUAAUCACUCACUUAUCUUUGCCAUCCUUGACCUGGGAAGAGAACGUUGCCCUCAUUGGUCUGGAAUCAGCAGGUACCUCAUGGCUGGAGGUGUAUUUUCAGACUCCUUUGGCAUCUGGUGAGGCCUGUGGAUUCAUUCUCAGAAUCACAUUUUUAAAUGCACAUAAUAAAAUACAUAGAAUUGCAAAGGAAGUUAAUUAUAUUGAAAUACAGUUAUCAAAAAUAUAAAUAAAACAAGUAUGUGGUACAGUCAUAUGUGUGCUUCUUUAUUAAGUCAUUACAAAGCAAGAUCUAUUUGGAGGUCUAAUAACUGUCAUAUGCUUGAAAAAAUCCUUAACAAUCAUAAUAUAUUAAAAAAUCUGAUUUCUACUUUGGCAAAUCAUAGAUAUUGCUGAAACUGUGGUUUAUUGCCUGCAUUCAUAAUUGAAGGAAAUGCUAGAGUUCAGUGAGAAGGUUGUGAAAAUAAAGAGAGCCUUUUUUUCUCAUCAAG